AGCGAACGCUGGCGGCGUGCUUAACACAUGCAAGUCGAACGGGAAAGCCUUUCGGGGCUAGUAUAGUGGCGUACGGGUGAGUAACACGUGGGUAACCUGCCCUUGAGACGGGGAGUAACCUACCGAAAGGUAGGGCGUAAUACCGGAUAAGACCACGACCACGCAGGUGGAUGGGGUCGAAAGAAUGCCCUCUGCAUAUGGUAUCGCUUAAGGA
rnacentral:rRNA from 1 species